ACAUGAGUUAGGAUAAGAACAGUAAUAAACGAGUGAAAAACAAAUAUAUUUAUCGCAAACAAUUGAUCAUCUCGCAGUUCAAAUAUAUACAUAUAGCGGUAUCAUCGGUAUCUAGGGAACAGGGAACAACCGUGUUUAAGUGGGUUUGAAUACUAUUGCUCAGUAUGUAUACUAGUUUCAUCUAUUACAGAGAUUUCCUUGACCAGCUAGUUUGCUUGGUUUAUAGAUAGAUAGAUAGAUAGAUAGAUAGAUAUGUUUCUUUAUUAGCCACACAGGGCUGCACACAGAUAGAACAAAUUACAAUGUAGAGCUUUUCUUUUGAAGGUUAAAAAAAAAAAAGGAAGGGGGGGGAGUUUCGAUCAAAAGGGAUCGUAAAAGGAGAGAAAGAGGACAAAAAAAGGGGGGUUAAAAAAAAGGGGGAGAGGAAAAAAAAAAAAGAAGAGGCGCAAAGGUCCAGUGGUUAGGGCAGAGGACUCGCUGUCGUAGCAUCGCAAUUUCGAUUCCGAGACCGGACGUUGUGAGUGUUUAUUGAGCGAAAAGGCCUAAAACUCCACGAGGCUCCGGCAGGGGGUGAUAGCAAACCCUGCUGUCCUCUUUCGCCUCAACUUUCUCUCACUCUUUCUUCUGUUGGCCCGCUCGCUUAGCCAUCGAGGUGGCGUCAUUUGAAGGCUAAAACAAUGCGAAACGCAUUGUGACCAGCGAUGUGUAGCAACAUCUGAUAGCCUUGUCGGUCACGUGAUCACGUGAUAUAUACAUAUAUAUAUAUAUAUAUAUAUAUAUAUAUGUAAUAUCAAAGGGUAAUCUGAAAUAUUAGAAAUAUCCAUUACCAGUGGCCUAGCGUGUAAAAAAUUUAGUCAAUAGACUAUAUAUUAUUCAUAUAAAUACAGUGUACAUUUAAAAACAAAAGAGGUGUCCAUCAUAGGACUACUUGCACGCUAGAGAGGACAGUUAAAUUCCAAACCACUAUUAGAGAAAAAUUUCGAAUGGAAUGAAAAAUACAAACAUUUGCCAUCUAACUCCUGUACACUGUAUUUAUUUGAAUAAUAUAUAGUUUAUUGACUAAACUUUUACACGCUAGGCCACUGGUAAUGGAAAUUUCUAAUAUUUCAAAUUAAUAUUUGAUAUUAUUAAUUAUUGAUAUUUUUUUUCUUGGAAAAUUUUCGAAAUGAAAAAGCCGGCAUAUUUAAUUACUGUCGACAGGGAGCUGCGCCUGCGCGGUAGAUUUGAAAACUUAGAAUGUAUAAGCACGGGGCAUAUACUGGAUUGCCUCGUGUAUAUAUAUUUCAUCUAAGGUGUACCUGCUGAAGAAGGCUUCGCCUGGCAAAUUAUUUUAUUUGCUAAAAAAUGUCUGAAACCAUUGGUCCAGGUGUUAGAUGGUAAAUGUUUUUAUUUUUCAUUCCAUUCGAAAUUUUAUCCCUAAUAGUGGUUUGGAAUUUAACUGUCCUCUCUAGCGUGUAGGUAGCCCUAUGAUGGGUACCUUUUUGUUUUUUUUAAAUGUACACUGUAUAUAUAUAUAUAUAUAUAUAUAUAUAUAUAUAUAUAUAUAUAUAUAUAUAUAUCACCGUGAUCACCGUGACCGACCAGGCUAUCAGAUGUUGUUACACAUCGCUGGUCACAAUGCGCUUCGCAUUGUUUUAGCCUUCAAAUGACGCCACCCUGCUGGCUAAGCGAGCAGGCCAAUAUAUAUAUAUAUAUAUAUGUAUAUAUAUAUUUAACAAACUAGCUACUCUAGUCAAGAAAAACUAUGUAAUAGACAAAACCAGUAUACAUUACAGAUGAAUAGUAUUUAAACCCACCUAAACACGGAUACUGCUAUUUUUAAUCCCAGAUGAGCACCUCCUCUAGCUGGUUAUGCAGUACACUCUGGACUCAAUAUACAUUGCAAGCGAGGAGAGAACUCCUUACUAUUCUAGCCCCGAGACCGUCAGACCAUAUGGUUUCGAGCUUCUUAUUUUCACCUUCGGAGAUAGUUACUCGGCUGCUACACAUACAUACAUACAUACAUACAUACAUACAUACAUACAUAAAUACAUACAUACAUACAUACAUACAUACAUACAUACCAUACAUACAUACAUACAUACAUUAAUACAUACAUACAUAUAUACAUAUAUACAUACAUAAAUGCAUAUACACGUAAUACAUAAACACACACACACACACACACACACACACACACACAUAUAUAUAUAUAUAUACGCGAUGGGCUUUUAUCAGUUUCCGUCAACCAAAUGCACUCAGAAUAAGUACUAGGCUUACAAAGAAUAAUUCCUCGGGUCGAUGUUUUCGACUAAAGGUGGUGCUCUAGCUUGGCCGCAGUCAAAUGACUGAAACAUAUAAAAUAUAUAUACAUACAAAAUGACUGUAUUUUUACUUGAGACUGUCAUGUGUGUGUAUAUACAUAUAAUGUAUAUAUAUAUAUAUAUAUAUAUAUAUAUAUAUGUAUGUAUGUUUGUAUAUAUGUACAUGUAUUUAUUUAUACAUACUAAUAAAUAAAUGAAUAUAUAUAUGUGUGUUGAUAUGUGUAUGUAUGUAUGCAUAGAUAUAUAUAUAUGUACACACAUAUAUAUAUAUUCAUAUAUAUAUAUAUAUAUAUAUAUAUAUGAUAACUUACAAAAUUUAGAACGUAAAUGUACCUUUCAAUCGAAAUAAUACAAGCUUUAGAUGAUAAAACUACUGAUGAAUACGUUCAUAGAUGAUGUUGCUUAUUUUCUUUGAAUAUAAAUAUCCACAUACAUAUAUUCACACACAUGCGCACACAGACACAUACAUACAUAUGCAUGCACAAGUACAUAUAUAGAUGUAUAUGUAGCUGUACGUUAUAUAUCAUCAUUCAUUUGCAUGUGUGAAUGAGCAUGUUCAAAUAUUAUCUUCAUUUCAAUCGUGGUUUUAUCGAGUAGUCUUCUUGGCAGAUCCAAUACUGGCAAAUCUUUUUGCCAGAAUUGCCUCUGGAUUCACUGACGUAUCAAAGUCUUUUCAUACUUAAUGCUUUUGGAAGAUAGAAUGAUUUCCUUCAACAUUUGUAGGCAGGGGAGACAUAUUUUUUUUCCUCCGUUAUCUUUUAUGCUUUUUAAUCCGGUAAGGAUUUUCGCUUAAAUUUGUACAAGAGUCUGAUAUUUAUCUAAGUACUAGUUAUGGAAAAUUCUAAAUCUGCGGUUAAAGAAAUAUUCAAAGGGAAGUCUUAAGAAGGAAAGUCAAAGUUACCAAAUGAAUAAAGAGAAAAUAUAACGAAAAAAAGAUGAAAGCGAUAAUUUGUUUGUCACACUUUUCAUUCACGAUAAAAAUUUAUUAAAUGUUUGGUCUGCUGCAUACACACAUUUAGAUUAUAUUAUUACUGGUUUUAGAAGCUUAAUAGUAUCGUGGCUGAAAGAUAAGUUUUAAAGAAGCCAAGCGUGCAACAAGAUUUCGAAUCACGGUCAUGAAUAUGUCACUUCCAAAACAUCACUGACGUCGUUCCAAAUUUUAAAGAUAUUUUCCAAGGUCUUUAUAGAAUAUCUCUUUAAACCCAUACAAAAGACAUAUAAGCUUGAGUGUAUACAAUUAAAUAUACGCGCACACAAAUGUAUGUAUAAUAUCUGACGAAGGUUAGCCGACCAAAACUUCGAAGUCAUUAUCACUUCUUGUAAAAUUUUGACAAACAUGUACUCCACGAAAAAUUAUCGAGUAAUUCUCCAGUUUAAUAUUAGUUUGAAAUGUUUGCACACGGUGAUCAGUUUAGGAGGAGAGGAUAAGUCGAUAACAUCGGCUUUAGAGUUCAACAGGUACUUAUUUUAUCGACCCCGAUAUGAAGAAAUGCGAAGCUGACAUCGACAUGAAUAGAUUAUAAAUGUAGCUACUCACACAGUUAAAAAGAAUAAUAUUUCUGAUCUGUGCACAAAUAGAACAAAUACUUCAAUCCCAAUAAUACUCCGGUCAUCUAUACUUCUCUAUAGAGGCAUUGAUUCCCAGACUUCAUAUCACAAGGCACUAAAACAUUUAACCAAAUAAGAUAUAAACCUAUAAAACAUAAUCUCCCCACCCACCAAAAUUUUAUUUUGCUGAGAAAUAUCCUAAUCUUUUUGCUUCAAGGAUAAUGUCACUGCAAAGCACUGGUAUUUGUAGGAACUAUAUUAUUCUUGGAGGUAUUGAUGGUAAUUAUACUGGACUAACAAAUAACACCUUUAAUAUCGACCAUACCUACAUUUACACCCAUUCAGAUCAACUACCAAAAGAUAAAAGCUUCAAAUAAAGCUUCACAUUAAAUAUGCUAGCACAGACAAUGUUUUAGCAGAACAGGAGAUUGCGAAUGCUAUUCCUUUCCCAUCACGAGGUUUGAUAUCUUUAGCGCAAUUAAUAGCGAUAGCGCGGCUACAUAUUAUAAGAUUUUCAAGUUAGUUAACAUGUGCUAAAUUAUUGUUAUGUCAGAUUUACAUUAAGCUGCAAGCUGAAAGCCAGUAUAUGUAAUAUGGUGACGUUUAUUAUCAACAUCAACAGCGUGUACGAAAGAAGAUAGGUAGGUGUUUUAUUUACUAAAUGCAAGAACAGUUAUGUUUUAGAAAUGUAAGGAAGUUAGAAAUUUCGUAAAUAUAUGCAUUUUAUAUAAAUUCACUUAAUGCUGUUUAAAUCUUUUAAAAUUGAGGGUGCAAUCUUAAAUUAAAUAUGAAUAGAGCGCGGUCUUAACCGCGGCGAUAUUUAUGCUGAGCCUAUUAGAAGAAACGCUAAUAUUGGACUUUAACAAACCGGGUUUAUAUAUAUAUAUAUAUACAUAUAAUUAGAUAAUUAGGCAGUAGGAUUUCCUCAUUUCCUACCCGUUCCGAGUUAACCGUUCGCUGCAGCCAAAUGCCUGUUAGAUCGGUACGACGAUCUAACUUAAGCGAGGAGGAGCCGGGCCACGCACACCGACUCGCUCGACGUGCUAUACGUAUAUGUGCACACACAAACCCACUGAUAUAUUUCGAUGAAUUUUUCCGCAAAUACAUUUCUUGAUGAUGAUAUUACUUCAUAUUGAUUGUAACAAUAUAUUUUAAAUGAGUAUUAUGUAAUAUGAAACAUUAUUGAUUUAAGGACCACGCUUAGGAAACUUGCGUAGCAUAAAUUGAGCUGGCUACUAAUACUUUGUGUUCCUUUGUUUGCUCUCUCAAUAUAUAUAUAUAUAUAUAUAUAUAUAUAUAUAUAUAUAUAUCACUAUCAUACAUAUAUAUAUAUAUAUAUAGAGAGAGAGAGAGAGAUAGAUAGAUAGAUAGAUAGAUAGAUAGAUAGAUAGAUAGAUAGAUAGAUAGAUAGAUAGAUAGAUAGUCGAAUUCCUCCGGUCCGUACCAGUUCCGAGUCGACUGUUCGCCGCCGGCCCAUGCCUGCCUCGUGUCACAUGCAUACAUGCGAUACGUAUGUUGCAAUAAUUAAAUCGUUUUCCUCGCAAAAUAUAGCGAAAAGUACAUUUUUCAUGUAAAGCAGUGGUUCUUGUCCAUUUGUAAACUCAGCGCCAUCUUUCGCCAAAGAGCGUUUUACAAAGACUUCCUGUGUUAGAUGCGCUAAAUUAUUAAGACAGUUAGUUAUAUUAAUGGAAUAAAGGAUGAGUUUACUCGCACACUUUUUAUUCAGAUUCUCUUACAAUAAAAACCGUUGCAUGAAUUACCAACCGUCAUGUCAAAUUUAUAGAGAAAUUACGAAAGAAGGCAAAUAUAUGUUCGAUGAAAUUAUAUUAGACCGUGGAACCUCUGCAAUUAUUAUACAAUAUUCUGCUCAUCUUCCAAUCCCGGCAAAUUUUCUGAAAAUGUUUUUAAAAUAUGAGAACGGUAUCAUUAGGUCAUAUUUCAUUUCUAAGAAAAAUCUCAGGUAAACAAACGGUCUUUGCAUGGCAACCUCUUGCUUACGGAUUGAAUACUCACUGAUGACAUAUUAAAUAUAUUAGUUAUACGUCCUGUAAAGGUCACUCAACUAAUGUAGAUUAUGGAAGUACAAAAAAAGAGAACUAAACUAUAUUUGUAUUUAGAAAAAUCGAAAUUUACAUAAAGCCAUUAUCUUAUUAUCACGCAUUUUCUCGCUCCACCAUUUUUAUACCCGCUCCUCCUUCUGCUGAAUAUAUUUAUUGAUUUACGUGCUGAAUUAUCAAAAUUAGAUUGCUAUGAGUUUUGUGAAAUUUCUUUUUCAACUUUAAAAUGACACAAUAAUUGUAAUGUGCUCUGUACAGUUGUUCUUUAAAAAAGAAUAACCGCAUUCUGACUUGCAUAUAAUUUUCGAUGUCGAAUUUUUAUUCCCCUAUUACCAGUUCUUUAUCGUUUGUUUGUUGAAACAGAAAAAAAAAAGAGUUACGAUAGCAAAUGUGGAUUGUUCGAUGUAAUAUUUGAGAUACAGGAACCACCCUGACGCAAUGUCUCAAGCAGUUGAAGGUGGAGUUUAUUAGAAUACCAAACUCAGAACAAAGAGCAAAGAAACCUAUUUCGUAUCAUGUCUGUGAUAUCCUGAUUUUAUUACAUUUUAUAUAUGGUGAAUGUAUACUUUGAAUUGUUUAACUAUUUCCUUUUACAUUUUCAAUUCAAAUAUCGAUGUUGACUUUAUCUUUCAAACAACAGGUAUCAAGGAUAGAGGUAACAAUCAAACAGUGGAGGCAUUAUAACAGAUUCUGCAUAACCUCCUAAAAUAUAUCGAACCUCAUUCCUCUCUUAGAAAACAGUUUCACCAUUAUUAUCUGUAGGAUAUAUUUUUUGAUCGGUAUUAAAUAUUCGCUUAAAAAUAUUUUCCUAUAUCACUUCUCUAUCGUCAGCGAACUGGCAGAAUCGUUAGCGCGGCGGGUGAAAUGCAUAGAAUUAUUUCAUUUUUCUUUACGUUCUGAGUUGAAAUUCCACCGCGAUCGACUUUGCUUUUCAUCCUAUCGGCGUUGAUAAAAUGAGAACUAGUUGGGCCCUGGGAUCGAUGUCAAAGACUUACCCCACGCCCUCGAAAUUACUGGUUUUUAACCAAAAUUAUGAUUAUUAUUGUUAUUAUUAUUAUUAUUAUUAUUAUUAUGAUUAUUAUUAUUAUUAUUAUUAUUAUUAUUAUUAUUAAUCCGCAGAAGUUACAGAGAGGCUGAAGGGCUUGUGUGUCGUGCAGUAGCACUUAUCAAGCUGGUUUCAAAAGUAUGGUGAUUUCACGGGGCUUUGAGUGGUCUGUAUAAACGUAAUCCUCAUAAUCUGAUACCAUUUUCAUGCCAAUGCCUGAAACUCACGGCCCCUGAGAAACUCUGUGACUUCUGUUGAUUGAAUAUAUGUGUGUGUUUUGAGUUCUAUGUUCCUGUUGGUAUCGCCAAACUAUAUAUAUAUAUAUACAUAGAUAAUAUAUAUAUAUAUAUCUGCGUAUAUAUAUAUAUAUAUAUACACAAACACACACAUAUAUAUAUAUAUAUAGUUAUACACAAACAUAUAUAUAUAUAUAUAUAUAUAUAUAUAUAUAUAUAUAUAUAUAUAUAUAUAUAUAUAUACAUAUAUGGACGUACACACACACACACAUACAUAUAUCCAAAGUGGUUUAACAUUUACGUCGCUAUAC
rnacentral:lncRNA from 1 species